UUGAGUCUGGCUCAGGAUGAACGUUGGCGGCGUGCCUAAUACAUGCAAGUCGAACGAAGAGCUUAGAGUAGCAAUACCCUGGAGUACUCUUAGUGGCGAACGGGUGAGUAACGCGUUGGUAACCUGCCCCAAAGAUAGGGAUAACAGUUCGAAAGGACUGCUAAUACCUUGUGUGGUCAUUUAGCUUAGACGCUUUUUGACUAAAGGAGCUUGCUCCGCUUUGGGAGGGGCCUGCGUCCCAUCAGCUAGUUGGUAGGGUAAUGGCCUACCAAGGCAAUGACGGGUAGGGGACCUGAGAGGGUGGCCCCCCACAAUGGAACUGAAACACGGUCCAUACACCUACGGGUGGCAGCAGUAGGGAAUAUUGGUAAUGUGCGAAAGCGCGAACCAGCAACGCCGCGUGUGCGAAGAAGGCCUUCGGGUUGUAAAGCACUUUUCGGGAGGAAGAGGAAGGACUGUACUCCCGGAAUAAGUCUCGGCUAACUACGUGCCAGCAGCCGCGGUAAUACGUAGGAGGCAAACGUUAUCCGGAUUUACUGGGCGUAAAGCGCGUGCAGGCUGUUCGAUAAGUUGGGCGUGAAAGCUCCCGGCUCAACUGGGAGAGGUCGUUCAAUACUGUCGGACUAGAGGAUGGUAGAGGAAGGUGGAAUUCCGGGUGUAGUGGUGAAAUGCGCAGAUAUCCGGAGGAACACCAGUGGCGAAAGCGGCCUUCUGGACCAUUCCUGACGCUCAGACGCGAAAGCUAGGGUAGCAAACGAGAUUAGAGACCCCGGUAGUCCUAGCUGUAAACGAUGUGAACCUUGGCGUCGGUGGGAUUACAUCCAUCGGUGUCGUAGCUAACGCGAUAAGUUCACCGNCUGAGGACUACGGCCGCAAGGUUAAAACUCAAAGGAAUUGACGGGGACCCGGACAACAGCGGAGCGUGUGGUU
rnacentral:rRNA from 1 species